rnacentral:lncRNA from 1 species
GCUCUCAUCACCUAUAUACUCUUCUCUCUGCCCGUCUCUGCUUCCCCCCCCUUCCCCCCCCCCUUUUCUCCCGGCCGACGGAGCUGAAGGGGCGGGGGUUCCUUCCUUGGAGUGUUUCUAGAGCUCGGAGGCUGCUGGUAGGGGGGCACCACUUUCAGAUAAAAACAUAGACCUGAAUGGCAUCAUCCAGUAUCCAAGGAAACCAUUGUGUCUGUAACCAGCUAAUGAGCUGCAACAGAGCCUGGCCUUCAUUUUCAGCAAAUUAAGUUCAUCCCUCAUAGGAAUUGUGGUCUGGCUGUGGCACCGCUCCUAGACAUGACAAACUCCAAAAGGAAACCCAAGCAGCUAUUUGGCUCCCUUAAUUAAUGAAGUCGCCCAGUAUGGAUAAUUCAGGUUCUCUAAACAUGAAUAUGCCUUUGGGGGAAGACAGAAGAACAUGGAAGCCAUGUGAAAAAAACGGAUCCUAAGGCAGUUUUGAACAUCUGGAGGCCUGAUUUAUUGGAGAUUGCAAAUGUACAGUGUAACAUAGCUGUGGAGAGCGAGAAGAUCAGGAUUGUCAAUGCUGUCAUUGCUUUUACUGGAAUCCCCAGCACGAAUUGAAGGUCUCACUUUGCCACCUAGGCUGGAUGCAAUGCAACGGUAUGUUGAUCUUGGUUCACUGCAGCCUCAACCUCCUGAGCUCAUGUGAUCCUCCCACCUCAGUCCCCCACGUCGCUUGGAUUACAGGCCUGUGCCACCACACCUGGCUAACUUUUUUUGUAAUUUUUGUAGAGACAGGGUCUCACUAUGUUUCCCAUGCUGGUCUUUAAUGCCUGAGCUCAAGCCAUCCGCCUGCCUCGGCCUCCCAAAUUGCUGGGAUUACAGGCAUGAGCCACCAUGCCCAGCCUAAUUCUUCUAAAUCUUAUCCUAGUAAUUAAGCCAGAAUUUUUCUCUGCCAAGACCAAUAGAUGGACCAAGAAGUACUCAUCCUUGUAAACUUUCUUUGGAUAAAUUGCUUACAUAUAAUAAAUUCAGAGUUAAGUAAUAAAAAUAAUGAACUACUGUCUUG